CUUGAGACCGGCGCACGGGUGCGUAACGCGUAUGCAAUCUGCCUUCCACAGAGGGAUAGCCCAGAGAAAUUUGGAUUAAUACCUCAUAGCAUCAUGACCCGGCAUCGGGAUAUGAUUAAAGUCACAACGGUGGAAGAUGAGCAUGCGUCCCAUUAGCUAGUUGGUAAGGUAACGGCUUACCAAGGCUACGAUGGGUAGGGGUCCUGAGAGGGAGAUCCCCCACACUGGUACUGAGACACGGACCAGACUCCUACGGGAGGCAGCAGUGAGGAAUAUUGGUCAAUGGGCGCAAGCCUGAACCAGCCAUGCCGCGUGCAGGAUGACGGUCCUAUGGAUUGUAAACUGCUUUUGUACGGGAAGAAACCCUCCUACGUGUAGGAGCUUGACGGUACCGUAAGAAUAAGGAUCGGCUAACUCCGUGCCAGCAGCCGCGGUAAUACGGAGGAUCCAAGCGUUAUCCGGAAUCAUUGGGUUUAAAGGGUCUGUAGGCGGUCUUGUAAGUCAGUGGUGAAAGCCCAUCGCUCAACGGUGGAACGGCCAUUGAUACUGCUGGACUUGAAUUAUUGGGAAGCAACUAGAAUAUGUAGUGUAGCGGUGAAAUGCUUAGAGAUUACAUGGAAUACCAAUUGCGAAGGCAGGUUGCUACCAAUGGAUUGACGCUGAUGGACGAAAGCGUGGGUAGCGAACAGGAUUAGAUACCCUGGUAGUCCACGCCGUAAACGAUGGAUACUAGCUGUUGGGCGCAAGUUCAGUGGCUAAGCGAAAGUGAUAAGUAUCCCACCUGGGGAGUACGAACGCAAGUUUGAAACUCAAAGGAAUUGACGGGGGCCCGCACAAGCGGUGGAGCAUGUGGUUUAAUUCGAUGAUACGCGAGGAACCUUACCAAGGCUUAAAUGCAGACUGACCGGUUUGGAAACAGACC
rnacentral:rRNA from 1 species